rnacentral:lncRNA from 1 species
UAGUACAACAACCACAUAUUUCCCUGGACAAAUAUUUAACAAACUCGUACAAUUUGAUAGUAAUAAAUGGAACAUCCGAAACCUGUGAAUCUUUCUGAGUACAUAAUAUAGAAACUCAAACACAAGUAACUAAAUAGAAAGAAAUCCAAACAUAUAAUUAUUAUGUAUAUAAAACUGAUUGCUAAAAAUCUAGUAAAAAAUAUUUCCACGUACAGGAAAUAUAACCAAGCAAUCCUCUAGGAUAAAAUAUUUUGUGACACUAAUUGCUAAAAUCAUGAGGCAAAAUAAUCACAGAAACUCCCAACCAAAAGUUGUCAUGAAAAUAGUUUUGCCAUGUAUUUGACAUGGUGGCAUCAGAUUUCCAAUUUAUCUUGACAUUAUUGGAUCAUAUUUGUUACUUAGAAUUGAGGAGGCGUAGAACGUAAUGUGGUCUUGCAUCUUCAUAAAGGACCAUGAAUAUCUCCAAGUGUUCCACUUUGUGGGCUAGAAUUUCACAAAUGUUGAACUUGUCGUGGAGAGAGAGAUGAGGAAUGGAACCCAACAGAUCGAAUACCUCCUUCCUCGCUUUUUCUAAGUCUUGGUCAUAUCCGAUCAACUAGCUAGAUUCUCCAAUCUAGCAUUCAUAUUGCGACUAAUCUCACCAAGCAGAGCGUAGCCAUAAGUGGAUUUGCAUUUCUUGCCUCUAGUUUCUUUCACUUGUGCAGGUUGCUUGCUUCCAUAAACACUAUUUUUCCCUUGUGUGGCUUCAAAUAUGUCAUCAAGGCUAACGUUAUAAUCAUCGGCCGAUGCAGAUUCUUCCAUGUCAUCUUGUUGCUCCAAUUUAUUCAACACAUCGAGAAUGUCCUCUGCAUUAUCACACGUUGCCCACUCCGUUUCCAAAAAUCUCUUUCCAAUCCACAAAGUAAGGUCAAGGCUUUUACCGCAUUGAACAAGCAUUACUAUCGCUCUGUCAUGUCAACAAAAAGCAAAAUUCAACAUAUAUCGCAAAUUUAAAUCAUGGAAGCUAUCACAAAAAUUAUAUUAUGCAAAUAAUGCACCUUUUCGUAAUACUUUCUUGCAGAGCAUAAACAUAUAAAUUAAUUUGAAAGAAAUUCUAAGGAUAAAAAUAAGUCAUGUUUUCUAUAGAAAUCACUAGUUAACAUUUUAAAACAUGUGAAGAUAAGUAAAAAUAAGCCAACCUCGUACGUGUAACUUCAAGUCCUUAUUCACUACAAGAAAGAAACAAUGGACUUCAUGACCAAACUAUAAUCAUCGAGGGAAAAAAUAUAGAAGAAAGAAAACAAUUUUAGAUAAAGACUCUUCUCCACAAUAUUCAGAAGACAUUCAUUUAUAUAGCAGAGAAAAAUUAUGAAACAAAAGCUAUGAUCAGGUUCAGAGGGUCACAAAUCUCAUUUCAUUCAUGAACAUAGUUAGCACCACAAUGAGAAAGCUUUCAUCCAUUUUUAAAAAUUCAUUGAAGGAUUUCAGAGAUAUGGAUUAUUCCCCAACAACAAAAUUUCAACUUUACAUAUUUAUUAUCAUCAUAGUAGAUAAUCUUUAGUAUCAUUUCAGAUCAAGCAUGCCCGCAUUUUAUUAUAUGCAUGUGAAGGUUGUAGUGGAAAUGAAGGAUUUCAUAGAUAUAGACAUUAAUAUCCACAUGACUAUAUCAAACAAAGAAUCUGAUCGAGUUCCAUACCAAUAUAAAGUGUAGCUAAGGCACUGAGUAUCCGGCCACUAUAGAAAAUAACUGCUAAUAAACAUCUUUAUAUCACUCUUGUUAAUAUCUUAUUUUCUUCCAUUUUUGAAUUAUAUAUUUCAUUUCAUUUACCUGAUGUACAAAUGCAUGCAUAAAGAUAAUUACAAUUAGCAAUAACUUUAGGUUUAUAUCGCUUCAUUCAUCAUUCCAUAAUCACAAAUUUAAAUCAUGCAAGAAUUUGUUGAAAAUUAUAAUAUGCAAUCAAUGUACCGAGUUUACCUUCACAAUACAAUCCCACUGAUCAUCAUCACAGUAAAUCAUGAAUGUCUCAUUCCAAAUUGAAUCCAACUCCACUUCGACUCAAGAUUUUGGUCAAGGAGUAAUAAUUUUUCUUUUAUGUGCUCGGCUUCGAGUUGAUAUGAGGAUUUCCUCUAGAUUUGUUCCAUGAAAAUGUUUCUUUAAAGCAUAUUUUAGUUUAUUAAGGUAGCUAACCCUUAACCCCUUGUCUGACCUCCAACCUUGAGCCACGAGUUCUUUCAGAGCUGCAAGAAGAGUCUUCUCCUCUUUAGAUGACCAACUACAUCAGCUCUUAUUGGUUUUCUUGCCAUUGACAUGACCCAUGAAAAAUUUUUAUUUCACAAUUACAUUUGAAAAUCAAUCCUAUUGUUCAAACAUGUAAGCAACAACAAGAAAAAAAAAAAAAGGAUAAGAAACGCUUAAAAGACAUGUUCUCACAUUUAAAGCAGCCCACAAACAGAAAAUCAAAUUAUAACAAAUUUCAGAGUUAUCAUGUUACCUAAUUUCAUAUUUCUUCCAAUUCCAAGUAUGAUUUCUCCAAUUUUCAUGUCGAUGAGAUCAAUAUAAUUAGGCUCAUUUCUUGUAAAAAGACACGUAAUUUCUUGUAAUUCCCAAUUAUAUUGGAAUAAAAAUACGAUUAAAAUUAUAAUUUCAAGUGGGAGCAAUAUUGAUUAAGUCGAUGGAAUUACAAGAGAUNUAGAAACUCAAACACAAGUAACUAAAUAGAAAGAAAUCCAAACAUAUAAUUAUUAUGUAUAUAAAACUGAUUGCUAAAAAUCUGUAAAAAAUAUUUCCACGUACAGGAAAUAUAACCAAGCAAUCCUCUAGGAUAAAAUAUUUUGUGACACUAAUUGCUAAAAUCAUGAGGCAAAAUAAUCACAGAAACUCCCAACCAAAAGUUGUCAUGAAAUAGUUUUGCCAUGUAUUUGACAUGGUGGCAUCAGAUUUCCAAUUUAUCUUGACAUUAUUGGAUCAUAUUUGUACUUAGAAUUGAGGAGGCGUAGAACGUAAUGUGGUCUUGCAUCUUCAUAAAGGACCAUGAAUAUCUCCAAGUGUUCCACUUUGUGGGCUAGAAUUUCACAAAUGUUGAACUUGUCGUGGAGAGAGAGAUGAGGAAUGGAACCCAACAGAUCGAAUACCUCCUUCCUCGCUUUUCUUAAGUCUUGGUCAUAUCCGAUCAACUAGCUAGAUUCUCCAAUCUAGCAUUCAUAUUGCGACUAAUCUCACCAAGCAGAGCGUAGCCAUAAGUGGAUUUGCAUUUCUUGCCUCUAGUUUCUUUCACUUGUGCAGGUUGCUUGCUUCCAUAAACACUAUUUUUCCCCUUGUGUGGCUUCAAAUAUGUCAUCAAGGCUAACGUUAUAAUCAUCGGCCGAUGCAGAUUCUUCCAUGUACAUCUUGUUGCUCCAAUUUUAUUCAACACAUCGAGAAUGUCCUCUGCAUUAUCACACGUUGCCCACUCCGUUUCCAAAAAUCUCUUUCCAAUCCACAAAGUAAGGUCAAGGCUUUUACCGCAUUGAACAAGCAUUACUAUCGCUCUGUCAUGUCAACAAAAAGCAAAAUUCAACAUAUAUCGCAAAUUUAAAUCAUGGAAGCUAUCACAAAAUUAAUAUUAUGCAAAUAAUGCACCUUUCGUUAAUACUUUCUUGCAGAGCAUAAACAUAUAAAUUAAUUUGUAAAGAAAUUACUAAGGAUAAAAAUAAGUCAUGUUUUCUAUAGAAAUCACUAGUUAACAUUUUAAAACAUGUGAAGAUAAGUAAAAAUAAGCCAACCUCGUACGUGUAACUUCAAGUCCUUAUUCACUACAAGAAAGAAACAAUGGACUUCAUGACCAAACUAUAAUCAUCGAGGGAAAAAAUAUAGAAGAAAGAAAACAAUUUUAGAUAAAGACUCUUCUCACAAUAUUCAGAAGACAUUCAUUUAUAUAGCAGAGAAAAAUUAUGAAACAAAAGCUAUGAUCAGGUUCAGAGGGUCACAAAUCUCAUUUCAUUCAUGAACAUAGUUAGCACCACAAUGAGAAAGCUUUCAUCCAUUUUUAAAAAUUUCAUUGAAGGAUUUUCAGAGAUAUGGAUUAUUCCCCAACAACAAAAUUUCAACUUUACAUAUUUAUUAUCAUCAUAGUAGAUAAUCUUUAGUAUCAUUUCAGAUCAAGCAUGCCCGCAUUUUAUUAUAUGCAUGUGAAGGUUGUAGUGGAAAUGAAGGAUUUCAUAGAUAUAGACAUUAAUAUCCACAUGACUAUAUCAAACAAAGAAUCUGAUCGAGUUCCAUACCAAUAUAAAGUGUAGCUAAGGCACUGAGUAUCCGGCCACUAUAGAAAAUAAAAAAAAGGAUAAGAAACGUUUAAAAGACAUGUUCUCACAUUUAAAGCAGCCCACAAACAGAAAAUCAAAUUAUAACAAAUUUCAGAGUUAUCAUGUUACCUAAUUUCAUAUUUCUUCCAAUUCCAAGUAUGAUUUCUCCAAUUUUCAUGUCGAUGAGAUCAAUAUAAUUAGGCUCAUUUAUUGUAAAAAGACACGUAAUUUCUUGUAAUUCCCAAUUAUAUUGGAAUAAAAAUACGAUUAAAAUUAUAAUUUCAUGUGGGAGCAAUAUUGAUUAAGUCGAUGGAAUUACAAGAGAUGUCAAUGGGCGCAAUAUAAUUAUAUAAUUCCAAGAAAAACAAGAGGAUAAGAAACUAUGGCUCCCAAUUUUAAUGUUGAUGGGAGCAAUAAAAUUAUUGCUGAUAGAAGUAGAUUUUGACGUAGUAACAUAUGUUUGACGCCAUGUCCUAAAUUAUGUAAGAUUAAAUCGAUGCAUGCGGACUAACCUUCUUGGGUAGAUUCCAUUUCGGAUGAUGUUUGGUAGCGGUGAAGACGAAUUUGAUGAGGUUUCUCCAUAAACCUUCUACAUUUUCCGUAUACAAACAAGGGGUCGUCUGUUGGGCUGAGAUAGAAGAGAAAGCUCUUCGAAAAGGCAAUCCCACUGCUGCU